UGUUCUGUAUCAAAACAGUUUCUAAUUAUUAUUCAGAUGAAAUACACUUCAAAUAUGUUACAAUUUGUGGCAAUUUUUAAUCUUCAAAGCCUUGAGUCCUUGAAUCCGCGAAAAGCUGCCCAGUGACAGAGAAGUACUGAUCUCACACCCAGAUGGGGAACCUGAAGCAACAGACCCAAACUAUUUUUUUAAAAGGUACAACAGAGGCCUGAUUUCUCUAGUGACUCCAUUGUCUCAGAAUCACCUCACCAGAGAGCGGCCCUUGAACCCAGUCUAAAGUCUGACUUUGAAGUCUGAAGGAUGACAGAAAUUGAAGAGGCUUAAAGGCAGACACUAGUUUGGUUCUGGUUUUUCACGACUGAAACUAACCUCUCUGAGAACCUAUGGAUAUAAGAAAUAAACCAAUGGAGAGAUAGACAAGACUUUCAGUUUUCAAUAAAAGCAAGGGGAAGAUUCUAUUUGGUUCAUCUACUACAUAAAAAUAACCAAAAAUAGGAAAAAAAGAAUAGAAAGGACAGGAAAUUCUCUUCACAGCUGAACAAACCUCUAUCAUUUUAACAUAACACAGACGGCAUUAUGGAAUUAUUUGAACCAAUGGAAAUUUCCAGUAGAGGGAAAAAUACAUUACCAAAAUUAAAAACAAAUAUCCAAUUACUAAAAUAAAAUAGGACAGCGAGGCCAGCUCUAACAUUUUAUACCUCUAUUUCAUCUUCUGUGUGGGAGUCAAAAACAGAAUAAAUUUGUAUUCUGUAAAAGACCAAUGAAAAGAGUAACAAGUGCUUUCGUUUUUAAAUUAUCCUUUAAAAAAAGAAGAAUCGAUGUUAUGGAUAAUUACCAGAGAACCAAGGAACUACAGCAAAAACUUAAAGAUAACCUAUCACUGUGCAUUUCCAGGAAAAAGCGGUAAAACAAGUUUUACCAGAUGGAGAAGUUAAAGACACCUGGGGUUCAUUUCCCCCAUUCCUAUAAAAUAAUUCACCGUUCUUAUCUGAGAAUCUUUAAGGAUCUAGUACAGCCACUCCCCUACCUUUGCUCAGAUGAAAGACAAAUCACUCACUAAUUUCCAAAAGGCCUCUCCAUUUCAAGCUUUCAAUCAAUCUUCAUAGCCAGCAAAAGCUGAAGCAUCCGUCUCCUUCUGUCCUUCUGAAAGAAGUUUCAUCUCUUUCAAAAGCAGUGGCUAGAAAGCCAUUUUCUCUCUCUAGAAGCACAAGGUUUAACUCUGUCCUCUGCUUUGUCUAUCCUAAAUAACAACAAGAAUAACAACAAAGCCUCAUGAGUGCUCCUUCAGCCUCGCAGAAAAGAACCAGCCACCUUCUGGCUCUCGCACAGCUGCUUCUGUCUUUCUCUGAAAGACACUCCACCCUGGAGGUUCCACAGGCAGAAUAACAAAAAGUGGAGCUGAAAAAGCUGCUAUAUGCUUAUCUGACCUCCAAAAUAGAGACAGGGCCCUCAAGCAACCAGAAACUCCCUAGCAAAAGAAAACUUUUUUUACAGUUUAAAAAUAACAAAUUGUAUUUGCACAUCCCCCUUUGUGCAGCCCUCCCAGCUUGUCUCAAACUAGUUGUCUCAACUCAUAAUAAAGCACAUUAAUACCAACUGUGUUAUAA